UAAAUAUUAGUUUAAUUUUCGCAUUCUUUUUCGAAAUUCAGAUUUAGCGCAAAUGCACAGCAGGCUUUUCUGAGGUGAGUUGCAGCGAAGCGUUGAAAAGGGGCGAAACACAUCUGUAGUAGUGGGUGCCCAUGGGCGUAGCUAGGGGGUCGGCCAAGGGCCGAGGGGGCCCAAAUAGUCGGGUUCCUGAACCAGAAGAAUGAAUACAAUACACCAAAAACUGGAGUUCGACUCUGCCAAACAUCAACAUUAGACAUUAACUAAAAUACAGGAGAAAAUGCCUUGAAAGGGCCCCCUCUUGUUUAAAAUCUUGGCUACGCCGCUGGUGCCCGUAAAAGUCUAUGUGAAAUAGAGACAAGUCUUUGCGUCAUAGUUUCAGGUAUCGCGGCUAAAUUUAAUUAACAGAGAUCACCUGCGCGAUUUAGCGACGGCAUACUGCGGGGAUAUUAAUAACUUUAUUGACCAAUAAAAUCAUAAGGAGUCGAGUAAGAAAGCCUCAGUUCAAGAAAACAACUUUGUAGCAUUGACAACUUCGAGGGUGGUAAAUAUUCUUGGCACAUUUUGCAAAAAUGCAAGCACCCAAAUAAAAAUUUCAGUAUUUGGCGACCUCAUAAUUUCUGGGGCCCCUCAUAAGGGAAUAACUGUUCGCACUGGCCUCCAAAGAGGGUAUUAAAGCAACAAAAAUAUUUUGCGCGCUACCGGAUAUUCGAUGGAUGCCUAUUUUUAUCAUCAUACUUUACGACUAUAGUGAUUCUUCGUCUGCUCACACAAGAUAAUGUAGACUAAGCUCCAAGUGUCUCUCUCUCCGAGUCCCAUACGGUCACUGAGAGAGUGAGGGAGACUGUGCGAAAGUCUUGACAUACUGUAAUCCGUAUGUUUAAUCUAUUUAGGCUUAUCCGUAGCAAGUAGGUCCAAAUUCCUCAAGUCUAUCGCUUAGCGAUGGCCUUUCACAAUUUUGCUUGGAUUAUGAUCGCUUAUUAUAUCAACAGUUGAUGAGGUUGUAAAUCUCGCUCACUCUCAUGAUCCCGAUUGAUGUGAUUUCACUCGCGAUUACCUGAUGGUAAAACUAACAUAACAAUCGCGUUUGCACGCUAUGCGUCCCGAUGAAUCAUGGCUUUCGCCCUUAGGCGGACCCUGAGCAAUCUACGGAGGAAAUUGCUUAACUAUGUGAUUAUUAGAUUACAGUAACCGCUAUUCAAAGAAGCUCUUUGGAUAACAUUUUGAAAUGAGGUAAAAGGGGAACGUUGAAAUCAAAGACAAGUUAAACAAAUGUGGGAUUUAUGAGGGGAAAUCAAGAGGAAGGAUCCUGAAAAAGUGAAGGAAAGAUGGCAGUGAACAGAAGAUUUGUUUAAGUGUGAGAUGUGUACAAGAUGAGGUCAUCAUGAGUGAGGAUGCAGUGAUAUUUGAUUGUUUUCCAUUUCAGUGACCAUUAGUAGUACACACCCCCUACACACCAAAUCAGACGCUUCACAUGAAUAUGUACGAGAUUUACCUGAUGAGUUGCAGUCAAGGUGUCAUAUCUGGCGAUGAUCUCUCUUAUUUCUUGAAACUGAAGAUUAAAGAUCACAAUAAAACAAGUUAUUAAUGUA